rnacentral:misc_RNA from 1 species
AAGUCGUAACAAGGUUUCCGUAGGUGAACCUGCGGAAGGAUCAUUAACACGUAUCCAAACGUAAAAAACCCCCCCCGUGAACAUUCAAUCCUGCUCUUGUAACCCGCGUAGUUCGCAAUCUCUGGUAAAUCAUAGCCCGGAAAGUAGUUUGAUUCAGAGACCUCUGGCUAUGUCACCGAUUGUGCAAGGAUAGCGCUUCAACGAUUCCUGUAGACCGUACACUCGGGCAGGAGCUAUGCCAAAGGGUCCCCAUGCCCCCUUAUAACCCCACAGUUUAAUGUGAAGCUCAAUGUAAUACAUUGGGUAAAAAAACCGAACAACUGUUAACAAUGGAUAUCUUGGUUCUC